AAAGUUGAAAAGUACUUUGAAGAGAGAGUAAACAGUGCGUGAAACCGAUCAGAGGUAAACGGGUGGAGUUGAACUGCAAGCUCUGAGAAUUCAGCUGGUGAGUGUGGUUCAAGCUUGGUUGUAUCAGUUGGACCUUGGAGUCUGCGUAGCAGCAGGCCUUUGCCUAUGGUGAAGGUGCGCGGUGCACUUAUCAAGUGUUGUGCGCUCCAGGUGUUCAUCGGACUGACUUGCCAGUGCACUUUCUCAGAGUAGUCACCACGACCGGCACCGCUGUCUGGCUGUUAUGGUUAAACCGUUCUUGCAUUGUCCUUGUGGCUUUGCUUGGUCGGGAUGGCAGGUAGAUCGUUGGCAAGCAUUUGUCCUUCGAUUGUAAUCAGCUGACCAUAUCGGUUCUGUGCAGUGUGUCGGAGACGGCGGCUUUUGUGUGUGCGUGCGUGCCUGACUGGCUGGCCUAUCCGGGUUUGGUUGUUAUGUUCCCUGUUUACACAGGGGUGAUAAUGGCUCGGGUUGGUUCGGUUGGUGGUGGCGUGCGUGUCACAAUUCAAGGGCCAAUAGUCUGUGGUGUAGUGGUAGACUAUCCACCUGACCCGUCUUG
rnacentral:rRNA from 1 species